AUCUCCGGAGCCGUUUGUAACGCCGCAGAUUAGUUUUAAACACGCUAGCAUGACACGACAAUUUAAGAAGCGCUUCUCUUCGUGGGUGGCAGAAAAAUAUCUCUGCCUUAUUGUCUCGCUAUUUCCUCUCCCUGUUGAACUUGUUUUCCGCCAAGUCUGGUGGCAGUCCGUAGAACACGUAUACAGUUUCUGUUUUGACACCGGUUCCAAAUUACACAUGUAAAUGAUUAAUCACCUGGUCCGGGCGAGGGCCGCUUAGCGUAGGUGGAGGUCCUUGUUCCGAAGAUGUUUCUGUGAUUACGUCCAAGUUCAGGACACUCUUCGCUGCCGGGUACGGUUGAAAGCGAUACCCGGUGAGGCCCGUGAGAUUAAGUUUUGAGCACCUGCCAUUUGGAUCCAAGUUUGUCCCUAUUAUUGGUGUGUCUGGGCCUCUGUGGCUUUUUGUUUAGUCUAAUCCCACACGAUUUAAAGCCGAGCUGGCCGCUCGUACCUUUAAGCCGGGCUCUUUGACACCCGAGGGGCCUGAGCGGUCCGAGGCACAACGGAGCUACUUUGGUGAAAUGCGAUUUGGCUAAUUGAUUCUGGAGUGGCUAGUUGGGAGCGCCCGUGGUGGUAAACUGAAACCGCCUCCAAUGAUCCCCUCCAAUGAUGCAAAAUCCUUGCCCAUGCUGUCGGGGAAACAAGCAGCAUUGGCCGCUUUCCCAUAUGAGGUUAGAAGCUCCGUUUCCCUUCUUCGCCCGGCAACAGCUGUUGAUUCAUCUGCACUUUGACUCAGGUAUGGAGCCAAUCUGAGGGCCAGGAGGGUUUUAACCCCAAUCUUCUCUCCUCCAUCUCGCAGCCUGGCACACAUGGGCCGAGCAGCUGCGCUUUCCAUUGAUGUGCCGGGCUGCCUGGAUAUGGCUGCCUGGCUGGAGGGAGAUAGAUUGGAGGGGAAAUGGCUUAAUUGUCCUCACUCUCACUGCUGGAAUGCAAAUAGCCCUCCGCUGCUAAGCCUCCUCGGCGAGGAAAACCCCACGCCGAGAUUUCGUUUUUCUUAGUUUGAUCAGGCGCUUCAAUUAUACUCGGCUUUAAAAUGUAUUCAAAAGGAGAAGAAUGACAUGUAUAAUUUCACUUUGGCAUGCAGCACAAUUGCAUUUGAUUUUUGACAUCGGUUUGUUUGCAAGCAUUUGUUCAGGUAAGUAUUUUAUUGACCUUGCUACCAUGCUAAUUGAAUCAUUUAAAUACCGUUUUUACUAUUUUAGUAUCUAGCUAGGCACAGUGUUAAAGUUGCAGCUUCAUGUUAAAGUUGAUAUUAUUGGGAAUGAAACUAUACUGCUGUAUUUUAAUGUUGAUCAUUAAGGCUGAAUUACCAGAACAUAAGCAACUCUAGUGAGGUAAAGCAGUUUACAAAAUCCUGCUAAAUCUAAAUCGACAGUUUAUUGUUGUAUAUUGUUGGAUAUUUAAAAUAACAAAUAUUCACAUUCAUUUUCAUGGAUUGUAUCGGUGAACUCAAUUACAUUUUUCAAAUUUAUUUUUCAGCAAGUGAAGCUGCUGUGAAAUUAAGAUCACACUCCAGUAAUGCACAUUACUGCCACCUACAGGACUGGAGUGGAGUUGUAUUUUCCAGCGCUUCUUCAAAGGAGUCAUGUUAAGGAUUGCUAAGCCUUGGAUAUUUUUUUUUCCCCCCCAUUGGCAUGCAAAAUCACCUUUUCAUAGCCCAAUAGGCUUCAGCAUUCAUCACUGGGAGGUCAAGCAGAUAGACAGGUAGCUCCUUCCUGCCCAUCAAUCUUGGGCCCCGAGCUGACGGGAGGCUGCGCCUUUCUCAAAACGGGCUUGCUCAGACUCAAACCGUCGCCUCGCCGAGAGGGCUGACGUGAUGUGUCAUUCAUUGGCGUCAUGUUUUCAGUGUGACGCUUCUCGAGAAAACGGUGACGUCAAAACAAAAAACGAAAUCCCCGGCCCAUCUUGGCCUCGGUCAUCUCGCCCUCCAGUGACAAACUCUUUAAUAUGACAAGGUUAAACACCUUGAAGCUGCAGCUAAAGGCGCACGUCCAGGUCAGGGGUCAAAAGAGCAAUUUAAAUAGCAGGCAGCUUGUUUAUGUUGUUGUGUCAUCUUGUUUAUGUUAUUGCGUCAUCUUGUUUCAUUCAAUGCAAAGCACAUUCGACUAAAUUAGUGAGUACUG